AUGGCUACCUUGACGGUUGUUGGCGUGGAUCAGGUGCCGGCGCUGGCCGCGAGUGCAGACGCACAGAUCUGCUCGAGCGUGGUGUGGUUGGCAGAAGGAAGAACUCGUCGCCGCCCUCGCAGGUCUCCACAGGAAGGCCAGCCCACAAGCUCCUCGGUGGUUAAAGAGGCUAAGGAACUUUCUGCAGAACGGCUGCUUCUUCAGUGCCCAAGCUUGAAAGAUGUUCAUGUCUAUCGAUGUUGUGAUAUGUUGAUCGGAGCAAUCAGAAACGAGGUGAGCCGUGGAUCAGGUUCUCGAUUUCUGUCUUAUCUAUGGCUCAGAAAGUCGAUGCUCCAUGGAUUCAAUGCAAGGUGA
rnacentral:rRNA from 1 species